rnacentral:rRNA from 1 species
AUACGGAGGGGGUUAGCGUUGUUCGGAAUUACUGGGCGUAAAGCGCACGUAGGCGGAUUGGAAAGUUGGGGGUGAAAUCCCGGGGCUCAACCCUGGAACUGCCUCCAAAACUAACAGUCUAGAGUUCGAGAGAGGUGAGUGGAAUUCCAAGUGUAGAGGUGAAAUUCGUAGAUAUUUGGAGGAACACCAGUGGCGAAGGCGGCUCACUGGCUCGAUACUGACGCUGAGGUGCGAAAGCGUGGGGAGCAAACAGGAUUAGAAACCCCGGUAGUCC